rnacentral:rRNA from 1 species
AUUGAACGCUGGCGGCAUGCCUAACACAUGCAAGUCGAACGAGUGGCGGACGGGUGAGUAAUGUCUGGGAAACUGCCCGAUGGAGGGGGAUAACUACUGGAAACGGUAGCUAAUACCGCAUACCAUCGGAUGUGCCCAGAUGGGAUUAGCUAGUAGGUGGGGUAACGGCUCACCUAGGCGACGAUCCUUAGCUGGUCUGAGAGGAUGACCAGCCAAACGGGAACUGAGACACGGGCCAGACUCCUACGUGAGGCAGCAGUGGGGAAUAUUGCACAAUGGGCGAAACCCUGAUGCAGCCAUGCCGCGUGUAUGAAGAAGGCCUUCGGGUUGUAAAGUACUUUCAGCGGGGAGGCGGUAUCUGCAGAAGAAGCACCGGCUAACUCCGUGCCAGCAGCCGCGGUAAUUC